rnacentral:rRNA from 1 species
CCCGAUCCCAUCCCGAACUCGGAAGUUAAGCCUUCCCGCGCCGAUGAUACUGCGCCCCUAAAUCGCGGGAAAGUAGGUCUCCGCCAGGC